CGGGGUGUAGCGCAGAUGGUCAGCGCGUUCCCUUGGGGUGGGAGAGGUCGCUGGUUCAAAUCCAGUCACCCCGA
rnacentral:tRNA from 1 species